UAGGCCCACCCUAGCCCCACCAACCACAACCAAGAACCCACUACUAAACUCAACCAAAACAUUUCCCCCAACCUAGUAUAGGCGAUAGAAAAGUAUAACCCUGGGCGCCAUAGAGAAAGUACCGCAAGGGAAAGAUGAAACAACAAUGAAAACCAAGCACCACAUAGCAAAGAUAAACCCUUGUACCUUUUGCAUUAUGAUCUAGCAAGAACAACCAGACAAAGUGAACUAAAGCCUGCCCCCCCGAAACCUAGGCGAGCUACUCACAAGCAGCUACCCCCUGAGCUAACCCGUCUCUGUUGCAAAAGAGUGGGACGACUUGUUAGUAGAGGUGAAAAGCCAACCGAGCCAGGUGAUAGCUGGUUGCCUGUUAAACGAAUUUAAGUUCCCCCUUAGUCCAUUCCCCCCAGAUACAAGCCUAACCCCCAUGUAACAGACUAAGAGUUAUUUAAAGGGGGUACAGCCCCUUUAAAAAGGGAUACAACCCCUACUAGAGGAUAACCUCACCUUUACCCCCCCCCCCGUGGGCCUUAAAGCAGCCACCCCUAAAGAGUGCGUCAAAGCUCCAUCAACCAAAAAUACCAAAACCACGCGACUCCCUACACCCACAACAGGCCAACCUAUACACAAUAGAUGAGUUAAUGCUAGAACGAGUAACCAGGAUAACACUCCCCUUAAGCGCCAGCCUACAUACAAUUAACAGCACAACUACAAUACCAAGCAAGAACAACCCCCGACCAAACAUUGAACCCACCCUGUUAACCCAACUCAGGGGCGCACACUAGGACGAUUAAAAUCUGCAAAAGGAACUCGGCAAACCCAAGGCCCGACUGUUUACCAAAAACAUAGCCUUCAGCCAAACAAGUAUUGAAGGUGACGCCUGCCCAGUGACACCACGUUUAACGGCCGCGGUAUCCUAACCGUGCAAAGGUAGCGCAAUCAAUAGUCCCAUAAAUAGAGACCUGUAUGAAUGGCUAAACGAGGUCUUAACUGUCUCCUGCAGAUAAUCAGUGAAACUGAUCUCCCUGUACAAAAGCAGAGAUAAAUACACAAGACGAGAAGACCCUGUGGAACUUCAAAAUCAAUAGCCACCACACACCCAACACACUAAACCCACCAGGCCCACUGUACAAAGCAUUGGCUAACAUUUUUAGGUUGGGGCGACCUUGGAGAAAAACAAAUCCUCCAAAAAUAAGGCCAAACCCCUUAACCAAGAGCAACCCCUCAACGUGCCAACAGCACCCAGACCCAACAAACUGACCAAUGGACCAAGCUACCCCAGGGAUAACAGCGCAAUCUCCCCCAAGAGCCCCUAUCGACGAGGAGGUUUACGACCUCGAUGUUGGAUCAGGACAUCCUGGUGGUGCAGCUGCUACCAAGGGUUCGUUUGUUCAACGAUUAAUAGUCCUACGUGAUCUGAGUUCAGACCGGAGCAAUCCAGGUCGGUUUCUAUCUAUGACUCAACCUUCCCUAGUACGAAAGGACCGGAAAGGUGGGGCCAAUACCCCAAGCACGCCCCCUCCCUAAGCGAUGUCCCCAACUAAAUCGCCAAAGGACCGCCCACAACCCCAACGAAAAUGGCC
rnacentral:rRNA from 1 species